ACGUAGGGUGCGAGCGUUAAUCGGAAUUACUGGGCGUAAAGCGUGCGCAGGCGGUUUUGUAAGACAGAUGUGAAAUCCCCGGGCUCAACCUGGGAACUGCAUUUGUGACUGCAAGGCUAGAGUAUGGCAGAGGGGGGUGGAAUUCCACGUGUAGCAGUGAAAUGCGUAGAGAUGUGGAGGAACACCGAUGGCGAAGGCAGCCCCCUGGGCCAAUACUGACGCUCAUGCACGAAAGCGUGGGGAGCAAACAGGAUUAGAUACCCUGGUAGUCCACGCCCUAAACGAUGUCAACUAGGUGUUGGUGGGGUUAAACCCAUUAGUACCGUAGCUAACGCGUGAAGUUGACCGCCUGGGGAGUACGGCCGCAAGGUUA
rnacentral:rRNA from 1 species